GACGAACGCUGGCGGCGUGCUUAACACAUGCAAGUCGAACGAAGUGGAGAACGGGUGAGUAACGCGUAAUCAAUCUGCACUUAAGAGGGGAACAACAGUUGGAAACGACUGCUAAUACCGCAUACUGAAGGAGGGGAUUGCGGCUGAUGAGCUAGUUGGCGGGGUAACGGCCCACCAAGGCGAUGAUCAGUAGCCUGUGUGAGAGGUGGAACGGCCACAAUGGGACUGAGACACGGCCCAGACUCCGACGGGAGGUAGCAGUGGGGAAUCGUCCGCAAUGGACGAAAGGCUGACGGAGCAACGCCGCGUGGGUGAUGACGGCCUUCGGGUUGUAAAGCUCUGUUAAUCGGGACGCGGUACCGGAAUAGAAAGCCACGGCUAACUACGUGCCAGCAGCCGCGGUAAUUC
rnacentral:rRNA from 1 species